rnacentral:misc_RNA from 1 species
GAUGAAGAACGCAGCGAAAUGCGAUAAGUAAUGUGAAUUGCAGAUUUCAGUGAAUCAUCGAAUCUUUGAACGCACAUUGCGCCCGCUAGUAUUCUGGCGGGCAUGCCUGUCCGAGCGUCAUUUCAACCCUCAAGCCCCCGGGCUUGGUGUUGGGGAUCGGCGAGCCUCCGCGCCCGCCGUCCCCUAAAUCUAGUGGCGGUCUCGCUGUAGCUUCCUCUGCGUAGUAGCACACCUCGCACUGGGAAACAGCGCGGCCACGCCGUUAAACCCCCAACUUCUGAACGUUUGACCUCGGAUCAGGUAGGAAUACCCGCUGAACUUAAGCAUAUCAAUAAGCGGAGGA